ensembl:piRNA 21ur-3205 ncRNA
AUCCGAUUUCGAUUUUCACCG